CAACGUGGGUAACCUGCCUUAUAGUGGGGGAUAGCCUUUCGAAAGGAAGAUUAAUACCGCAUAAGAUUGUAGUAUCGCAUGAUAUAGCAAUUAAAGGAGCAAUCCGCUAUAAGAUGGACCCGCGUCGCAUUAGCUAGUUGGUGAGGUAAUGGCUCACCAAGGCGACGAUGCGUAGCCGACCUGAGAGGGUGAUCGGCCACAUUGGGACUGAGACACGGCCCAGACUCCUACGGGAGGCAGCAUG
rnacentral:rRNA from 1 species